AAAUUGAAGAGUUUGAUCAUGGCUCAGAUUGAACGCUGGCGGCAGGCCUAACACAUGCAAGUCGAGCGGUAGCACAGAGAGCUUGCUCUCGGGUGACGAGCGGCGGACGGGUGAGUAAUGUCUGGGAAACUGCCUGAUGGAGGGGGAUAACUACUGGAAACGGUAGCUAAUACCGCAUAACGUCGCAAGACCAAAGUGGGGGACCUUCGGGCCUCAUGCCAUCAGAUGUGCCCAGAUGGGAUUAGCUAGUAGGUGGGGUAACGGCUCACCUAGGCGACGAUCCCUAGCUGGUCUGAGAGGAUGACCAGCCACACUGGAACUGAGACACGGUCCAGACUCCUACGGGAGGCAGCAGUGGGGAAUAUUGCACAAUGGGCGCAAGCCUGAUGCAGCCAUGCCGCGUGUGUGAAGAAGGCCUUCGGGUUGUAAAGCACUUUCAGCGGGGAGGAAGGCGGUGAGGUUAAUAACCUCAUCGAUUGACGUUACCCGCAGAAGAAGCACCGGCUAACUCCGUGCCAGCAGCCGCGGUAAUACGGAGGGUGCAAGCGUUAAUCGGAAUUACUGGGCGUAAAGCGCACGCAGGCGGUCUGUCAAGUCGGAUGUGAAAUCCCCGGGCUCAACCUGGGAACUGCAUUCGAAACUGGCAGGCUAGAGUCUUGUAGAGGGGGGUAGAAUUCCAGGUGUAGCGGUGAAAUGCGUAGAGAUCUGGAGGAAUACCGGUGGCGAAGGCGGCCCCCUGGACAAAGACUGACGCUCAGGUGCGAAAGCGUGGGGAGCAAACAGGAUUAGAUACCCUGGUAGUCCACGCCGUAAACGAUGUCGAUUUGGAGGUUGUGCCCUUGAGGCGUGGCUUCCGGAGCUAACGCGUUAAAUCGACCGCCUGGGGAGUACGGCCGCAAGGUUAAAACUCAAAUGAAUUGACGGGGGCCCGCACAAGCGGUGGAGCAUGUGGUUUAAUUCGAUGCAACGCGAAGAACCUUACCUGGUCUUGACAUCCACAGAACUUUCCAGAGAUGGAUUGGUGCCUUCGGGAACUGUGAGACAGGUGCUGCAUGGCUGUCGUCAGCUCGUGUUGUGAAAUGUUGGGUUAAGUCCCGCAACGAGCGCAACCCUUAUCCUUUGUUGCCAGCGGUCCGGCCGGGAACUCAAAGGAGACUGCCAGUGAUAAACUGGAGGAAGGUGGGGAUGACGUCAAGUCAUCAUGGCCCUUACGACCAGGGCUACACACGUGCUACAAUGGCAUAUACAAAGAGAAGCGACCUCGCGAGAGCAAGCGGACCUCAUAAAAUAUGUCGUAGUCCGGAUUGGAGUCUGCAACUCGACUCCAUGAAGUCGGAAUCGCUAGUAAUCGUAGAUCAGAAUGCUACGGUGAAUACGUUCCCGGGCCUUGUACACACCGCCCGUCACACCAUGGGAGUGGGUUGCAAAAGAAGUAGGUAGCUUAACCUUCGGGAGGGCGCUUACCACUUUGUGAUUCAUGACUGGGGUGAAGUCGUAACAAGGUAACCGUAGGGGAACCUGCGGUUGGAUCACCUCCUUA
rnacentral:rRNA from 1 species